AGCGGCGCCCGCGCUUGCCCAGCGAUGGGCUCUUCCCAGUCCGUUUCGGAAGAGAUUCGGGAGCUCGCCAGCAAGACCGGCUUCACUUCAGAUCAAAUUGAGCACCUGCAUCGGCGAUUCAAGCAGCUGAGUGGCGACCAGCCCACCAUCCGCAAGGAAAACUUCGAUCGCAUCCCUGACUUGGAGUUCAAUCCAAUUAGGUCCAAAAUUGUCCAGGCCUUUUUUGACAAGAGGAACCUGCGGGAAGAGUCUGAGGGACUGGUGGAUGAGAUCAACUUUGAGGACUUCCUGACUAUCAUGUCCAAUUUCAGACCCAUUGAAAUGAACAUGGAUGAGGAGCAGCUACAGCGCUUCAGGAAGCAGAAGUUGAAAUUUCUUUUCCACAUGUAUGAUGCAGACAGUGAUGGGAAGAUCACACUUCAGGAAUACAGGAAUGUGGUGAAAGAAAUGCUCUCCGGGAACCCCCACCUGGAUAAGGAAUCGGUGAGGUCCAUCGCCGACGGAGCCAUGAUGGAGGCGGCUGGCAUCUGCGUGGGACAAAUGGAGCCGGACCAAGUGUAUGAGGGAAUCACAUUUGAAGACUUCCUUAAGAUAUGGGAAGGCAUAGACAUCGAGACCAAGAUGCACGUCCGCUUCCUCACCAUGGAGCCCAUCGCAAUGUGCUACUGACCGAGGAGGAGCUGGAGCGCAGAUGCCGGUGCCUUUGCAGUGACCUGGGACAACACGUUGGCCGGUCUACACGGAAUCUUCCCUGAGCACCAGAAACAUAAAAGCUAAGCUAGACUGCCACUGAAGGGCCAAGCUGUCCAGACAGAUGUUCUCUCACGGCCUUCCCUGGCCUAGUCCAACCUGGCUUACCCGUGUGCGCGCCUGGCAGGCAUGACUGUCUUCUCUCCCCUGACUCUUUCCCCACAAUGGAGGCACCAGCUUCCAAGAAGUCCUUACCAGAAUAAAGUGCUUUUUCCUCCUCUC